rnacentral:rRNA from 1 species
UGGGGAAUAUUGGACAAUGGGGGACCGGUAGCAUCCAGCCAUGCCGCGCUGUGUGAAGAAGGCCUUAUGGUUGUAAAGCACUUUAAGCGAGGAGGAGGCUCUCUUGGUUAAUACCCAAGAAGAGUGGACGUUACUCGCAGAAUAAGCACCGGCUAACUCUGUGCCAGCAGCCGCGGUAAUACAGAGGGUGCGAGCGUUAAUCGGAUUUACUGGGCGUAAGCGUGCGUUGGCGGCUUUUUUAAGUCGGAUGUGAAAUCCCCGAGCUUAACUUGGGAUUGCAUUCGAUACUGGGAAGCUAGAGUAUGGGAGAGGAUGGUAGAAUUCCAGGUGUAGCGGUGAAAUGCGUAGAGAUCUGGAGGAAUACCGAUGGCGAAGGCAGCCAUCUGGCCUAAUACUGACGCUGAGGUACGAAAGCAUGGGAGC